AGAAGGUGGGAGGAUGCAGAUGGUUCAUACCGAGGUUCUAACUGAUGGGAGAGCAGAGAUAAAGGAGAGAAGAGAAGGUGGGAGGAUGCAGAUGGUUCAUACCGAGGUUCUAACUGAUGGGAGAGCAGAGAUAAAGGAGAGAAGAGAAGGUGGGAGGAUGCAGAUGGUUCAUACCGAGGUUCUAACUGACGGGAGAGCAGAGAUAAAGGAGAGAAGAAAAAUGUGGAUCCUUGAAAGCAGGAGGCCACACCCCUCUCCCAUCACUCCCCUCUCUCCACCCCUCUCUCCACCCCUCUCCCAUCACUCCCCUCUCUCCACCCCUCUCCCAUCACUCCCCUCUCUCUUUCUAUUCCUUCUAUCUCCAUCUCUCCCUCUGUGGCAGGUGCUGUGUUAAGCCUAUUCACUGGGAGGGUGGCGUCUGUGAAAGGGAUGCAUUUGUCACACAUAAAACAAACACAAGCGCCUCAGAAUACUGAUGAGUGACACUGUUCUACAGGGUGACUGUACAGACAGCCUGUGAAUGGCUGUCCAUUUCCAUCCUUCAGCUGCUCUUUUCACCGUCUGGAGAAUCAGCGUGGAAUACACAUCACAGGGGGUAUAUGGAUGAUGAGGCACAGAUAAACACUGGACCAUAGAGAUGGCUGGGAUUCAAUGCCACUGACAUUCUGUUGGGGGUUUAUGAAUUUAAUUAAUGCCAAUAGAUAGUGAUGUCCCAACAACACCUAAUCAAUAAUGACAAGAUACGCAUUGGAGCACAUUGGAGGGUGUGGUAGUGAAUGGGGCAUAUGAUCAAAUG